rnacentral:rRNA from 1 species
GUUAUAUAUAGAAGAGAAUCUACAAAUGAGUGGCCGGUUUCAAAUUUGUGAAAUUAAUGGGUUUGGUUAUAUAUAGAAGAAGAGUCUACAAAUGAGUGGGGUGCUUGCCUUUUGCAUAAUGAAUGGACAAAUUUGAGGCAUAGGGUUGACCCCGAAGGUGAGAGAUCUGGGAGGGGCCUGUUGAAGAACUUAUUUAUACUGGUGAAAAAUUUGAAAGAGAGCCUCUCUUAGAGGUGAAAUGCCAUCACGAGUUUCCCAAGGAUAUCUGGGUUUGGAAGUGGUUUUAUACAGUAAAGUGAUUAACCCGGGGUAAGCUGGGUGAGUUGUUGGUUGUGUUUAUUUUUUCUUAAGAGUAAGCUUUAAAGCAGCUACCUGGAGUGAGGUCUUGAUCGACUAAAUGGGGGUAAAGGGUUGUUUUCAUAAAUGCUUCCGAAGCUAGUAAACUAAAAAGCAGGGUUUUGAUGUUACUUAUAAGUAUUUUAUAGAUUUUUGAGUUGGAGCAAAAAAGGUCUUGGAUGAACUCGGCAAAAUAGGGUUAGGACUGUUUAUUAAAAACAUAGUGUGGAGAGGUUUUUAAGUUCACAUCAAGCGCUGCCCGGUGCUGUAGUGGUAAACGGCGGCCUUAGCGUGAGGGUCUUAAGGUAGCAUAAUAAUUCGCUCUCUUAAUUGGAGGCAUGUAUGAAUGGUUUUUCAUAGCUAAGCUUUCUUCUAGAUGUUAUUUUAAGUUAGCGUGCUGGUGAAUAUACUUGCUUUUUAUAGGAAGACAAAAAGACCCUAGAAGCUCUGGUUAACACCUUGACUGGGAGAGUUCCUGAAAAAUAUCAGAAGGAUGUAAUUGUAUAAUUUUACUUUUAUAAAAGGGUGUGGGGAUCCCUAUUGUCAGGAAAUUGUGGGAAACAGAAGAAAAGUUACUCUAGGGAUAACAGGCUAAUCCAGUUAGAGAGUUCAUAUCGGCAACUGGGCUUAGUACCUCGAUGUUGGCUUUAGUAGGCUCAAUUGUGCAGGGGCAAUGGGAGCGGGUCUGUUCGACCUUUAAAUACUACCUUGAGCUGAGUUUAGAACGUAGUAAUACAGUUCGGUUCCUAUCUCCUUCUCAAUAAUCCCUUUUGUACGAAAGGACUCAGGGGGAAAAAUUAGUGUUUGGCUUAUAGUUGCUAAGCGCUAAAGAGUUUAUUGC